rnacentral:rRNA from 1 species
GACGAACGCUGGCGGCACGCUUAACACAUGCAAGUCGAACGGUGAAGAGAAGCUUGCUUCUUGGAUCAGUGGCGGACGGGUGAGUAACACGUGAGCAACCUGCCUUUAAGAGGGGGAUAACGUUCGGAAACGGACGCUAAUACCGCAUAAUAUAAAGGAUUCGCAUGUUUCCUUUAUCAAAGAUUUAUCGCUUAAAGAUGGGCUCGCGUCUGAUUAGCUAGUUGGUGAGGUAACGGCUCACCAAGGCGACGAUCAGUAGCCGGACUGAGAGGUUGAACGGCCACAUUGGGACUGAGACACGGCCCAG